CUCGGCCCGCACUCUCUCCAUUACACUACCCUGCCUCUUCUCCAUGAGAGGCAGCGGGGUGUAGUGGAUAGAGCACGGGUUCAAGUCC
ensembl:miRNA MIR885 microRNA 885